GACAGAGGGGGCAAGCGUUGCUCGGAAUCACUGGGCGUAAAGGGCGCGUAGGCGGGAUGGCAAGUCGGUCGUGAAAUCCUUCGGCUCAACCGAAGAACGUCGGCCGAUACUGCCGUUCUUGAGGGAUGCAGAGGAGAUUGGAAUUCCCGGUGUAGCGGUGAAAUGUGUAGAGAUCGGGAGGAACACCGGUGGCGAAGGCGGGUCUCUGGGCAUCUCCUGACGCUGAGGCGCGAAGGCGUGGGGAGCAAACGGG
rnacentral:rRNA from 1 species